GACGAACGCUGGCGGCGUGCUUAACACAUGCAAGUCGAACGAAGUGGCGAAUGGGUGAGUAACGCGUACUCAUACUGCCCUUCAGAGGGGGACAGCAGUUGGAAACGACUGCUAAUACCGCAUAAUGAAGGAGGGGAUUGCGUUUGCUUAGCUAGUUGGUGGGGUAACGGCCUACCAAGGCCACGAUCAGUAGCCGGGCUGAGAGGAUGAGCGGCCACAAUGGGACUGAGACACGGCCCAGACUCCUACGGGAGGCAGCAGUGGGGAAUCUUCCGCAAUGGAGGGAAGUCUGACGGAGCAACGCCGCGUGAGUGAUGACGGCCUUCGGGUUGUAAAGCUCUGUUAAUCGGGACGCGGUACCGGAAUAGAAAGCCACGGCUAACUACGUGCCAGCAGCCGCGGUAAUUC
rnacentral:rRNA from 1 species